UGAAUUUAUAAAUUUCAUUUGAGAGGAUAAAAAAACCCUAGGAGAGUCGUGACCAUAGCGGCGCCUCCUUCACCCUAAUCGAUUUUUUCUUCAUGGAGUAGUGUCAUAAUCAGACACAGAUCAUGGUUGUUCUUUACUGGCACCUCCUUCACCUCUUUGUGGGGAAUAUUUGACUGUGAAGUUCUGUCUUUCUCCCUUGCAGAGGCAUCCAUUCCUCUUUCUGGAUUGGUUCUAACAACUAAUAACGGAGGACAAUCUUUCAUAGACUGUUCUAAAUAUGAAAUCAUUUGGCAGUGGAAGGAGGAAUUCGGUGCUAGUUUUGGGAGCUACUAAAAGAAUUAAAAAGAGCACCAUCUAUUACAGUAUUUUGAGAUGGAUGAGUGUUUGGUGUGCGACAUGUGUAGAACCUUUGGUAGGGAUUUUCAUCCAUUCUGUUCUUGCUGGCUCUGACAAACUCACCAUGGGCAUUCCUGAGGCAAAUACCCCAACUUGUAAUCUGUUGCUAUGUAUUGAAGCCAGCAUCUACAUUGCACUUGGAGGAGGUUCCCACCGAGCAAUGUUCUGAUUGGAGAUUUAUUUGGUGCCCCGUCUAAGUGUCAACUUCCGCUAAUUUUCUGUAGCGAAACUCAAAGUUACACUUACAUAGUUAUACUUGUUUAACUGGAUCGAUGUCCUCGGAUCCACACGCACAACAUCAUGGAAGAUGGGUUAGAGUUUCGAUGUUAGAGACGAACUUGUGAGUUUACAAAUUUCUUUAGAGUCACAAGAAAGAUGAAUUGUAUUGGUUCUGAAAUUGUAUUUGGAUUAAUUCUGUUAGUGUUUAUUUGGAUUGUUGAAUAAUGAAUGAUUGUUGAAAGUUGAAAUUGGAAAAAUUGGUUUGGACUU